rnacentral:rRNA from 1 species
CAGUCGCCGCGGGAAUACGAAGGGUGCAAGCGUUACUCGGAAUUACUGGGCGUAAAGCGUGCGUAGGUGGUUCGUUAAGUCUGAUGUGAAAGCCCUGGGCUCAACCUGGGAAUUGCAUUGGAUACUGGCGAGCGAGAGUGCGGUAGAGGGUAGUGGAAUUCCCGGUGUAGCAGUGAAAUGCGUAGAGAUCGGGAGGAACAUCUGUGGCGAAGGCGACUGCCUGGACCAGCACUGACACUGAGGCACGAAAGCGUGGGGAGCAAACAGGAUUAGAUACCCCCGUAGUCCCUGUCUCUUAUAA